UGUAGUCAAUGAAGCGUUGAGCCGAAAUGACAAAAAUGUUUGAAGAUAAAUUGGAUUACAAAAGUUCAAUAACAGUUUCAGACAUAUUGUAGUUUUCUCUCAUUAUGUAGUUUAGGAGUUGUUUUGUAUAAGUGUGUAGUGUUUCAUUGUUUUCAAAUGAAAUUUUGGAUAUAAAACCCCGGGUUAUAAAAGCGCAUGUGGAUUUACUAAGUUUUGAGAGUUUGUUUUCAAAUGCGAAUUUAGGGAAUAAAGAAUGGCUAACAUUGAGCCAAAUUAUAUGGAAUGUCCCCUUGUGAUAUGGGUGGACACAUUUAGACCAUCAGGCUCCCCCAGAUUACAGUACAGUGAUCUGUACAAUGGUGUCUUCCUUGCAGAUGUUAUGCAAAAAAUUGAUCCUCGGCCUGCCUACCAGAAUGUGAUCAAAACUGUGCGGGAUGUUAACAUUCGUAUGCAGAACUGGGACAUCUUGCUCAAAAACAUCAAGGCUUAUUAUUCGGAUGUUUUACAACAGCUACUCAUUGUCAAGUUGCCUAACUACCAGCUGAUCUGCCGGGAACCAGAAAAAGAUGCAAGUUUCAAUGAGCUUAAGAAGGUAUUACUGCUCGUACUGGGCUGUGCUGUACAAUGUGAGCUUAAGGAAGAUUUUAUCAAGGUCAUCAUGGAUCUGGAGGUCAACGUACAACAGGAGAUUGUUGAGAGCAUCAAACAGAUUACAGAUGACACUGAGUCUAUACUGCCGACAGAGUGUACAGACGUUGACAAACUGUUUGGGCAUCUGCUACAUCUGAUCAAGGAGAGGGACGACUAUGCAGAGGUGAUGUGUGACCUAGCCCAGGAAAAAGAGUUCUACCAGGCACAGGCGGAGGGCAAGACAUUACCAUCGACGCCGUCGGGAAGUCCAGACAAACAUCAUAUUGUGAUUGAACUUACCGACUGUAAAGCUCGCAUCAGGAAACUUAAACAAGAAUUAGAUGAGAAACAGGAGCAGUUGUCCGACUCCAGAGAUGAAUGUGAAGAUUAUAAAGCCAAUCUGACCAAGCUACGCAAUGAGAAUGUAGAAUUACUGAAGGAUGCAAGAUCAGCUAGGGCGCUAAGAGAUGAGCUAGAUAUACUCAGGGAAAAGGUGAGCAGAGUGAACAACUAUGAGGCUGAGAUUCUGAAAUACAAGGAGAAACUGAAUGAGAUGGAGUUCUACAAGGCUAGAGUUGAGGAGUUGCGUGAAGACAAUGCAAUACUGAUAGAAAACAAAGGGAUGCUUGAGGAGCAGUUGUCCAGUUCACAUAAACGUAUUGAGACUGUGUUACAGCUGGAGAAAGAGCUCGUCAAAUACCGUCAACAGAUUGAGGAAAUGUCUUCCGAGCGUGAUGCAGAUCGUGAACGUAUCCGAAGUCUUGUGGAAGAGAACGCCCAGUUACAGUUCCAUAAGAAAGUCAGUAUGAACGAGAGUUCCAGUCUCGAACAAGAAAUGCAAGCCGCAAAAGCUAAAAUUGCAGGAGUUGGAGGCGCAAUAUCAGAUCAGCUUAAAGAAACAACUAAUGCCAAAAUUCUUAGGCUAGAACUAGAAAACCAGCAUCUGCUAAGGAAGAUAGAAGACAUGCGAGAAAGUUCGCUCAUUGAGAACACAACAUUGAACCUACAGCUGGAGAAAGAGAACCAGAGACUGUCAAAGAAAAUGGAGAAAAUGCAACAAGAGAACAAAGAAGUGUUACAAAAGUGUUACGAUUUUGAGGAGAAGUCUCGAGAACUGUCUCGUGAAAAAGAGCAAUUUGUUCAAACGUUGGAAUACACUAAAGAAAGUGCUGAAAGACAGAUAAGGGAUUUGGAACAACAAAAUGAAGAUUUGUCUCAAACAAUGGAAGUGAUUCGGACUAGAAAUGAACAGACAAAUGAUACAAAGUUGAAAGAUUUGGAGAGAGAAAAUAAAAGAUUGCAUGAUACAAUAUCAGCAAAGAAUCAGCAUUUAACUAAAGUUGAGUUCAAUAAUAGACAAUUGCAAAAAACGUAUAAUAAAGUGCAUGAAAAUCUUGAGAAAAUGACUGAAGUGGAGACUGAAAAAGAAAAUUUGGAAAGAGAAAAUAUGGAGUUAAAACAUAGAUUACAAGCUCAGGAAUUAACUUGUGAUAAGGUAGAUAAAAUUGAACAGGAUUUUUCAGAUGUUCAAAUUGAAAAUCAGAAGUUGCAAAAGAAAAUCCAAACCUUACAAAACACUAUUCAAAAGAAAGAAAAAUUGGAGCAGGAUCAUAUUAAUUUGACAGUAGAAAACCAAAAACUGCAAAGGAUGUUGGAUAACUUCAAACAUUCCUCUUCAAAAGUUCCUGAACUUGAAAAUGAAAUAAGUUUGUUAAAGAAAGAGUUGCAACAACAGCAAAGAGUGAUAGAAUCUAAGAAAACACAGGGUGUAAAACUAGAGAAAAUGGAAUUAGAUCUCAUGGAUUUAGAUAAUGAAAAUAUGAAACUGCAAAGACAGUUAGAGAUAACAACAAAUAGAGUGCAACAGUUAGAAAAAGACAACACUGAAUUAGAAUCUGAAAAUGAAAAAUUGCAAGAAAAGAUUGAAUCAUCAAAGUUUUCGCAUAAGCGAAUGUCUGAACUUGAAAAAGUAAAUUCAGAAUUGGAAAAGGAAUGUAUGAAAUGUCAGAAGGAAAAUUCUCAGUUAACAAAGGAAAACAAGAGGAAUAAAGUGACUCUUGAAGCUCGUGAAAAUGCUAUAGAUGAAUUAACUACAAAAUAUUCUAUGUUGGAAUUAAGUCAUAAAGAGUUAAAGAGAACAGUUGCGAGAGAGAAAGAUUUAGGUGUCCAAAGUAAAGAAAUUGAAAAGGAACAUAAGGAAUUAAUUCAGAAUUUACAAGUGGAGAAACAGACAAUAUCCUCGCUAAGAACGGAUUUGGUGAAUGAAAAGAUAAAGACUCAGGAGCUGGAGAAUGAGCUGGAUAAGCUACAUCAGGACCUGGAGAGAGUGGGCAUUAAAUCAGACCAACUACUAGAUACAUCACAUUCCAAUGAUGACAGUCGCUUCAAGGCCCUAGAAUCAUUGAUGGAGGACACGCUGAAUAAAUCUCUAUCAAUCAAAGAGGACAAGAUUCAUGCACUGGACAGUCGACUUGAGGAGUCGAAGAAUCGUAACCUUAAACUGCAAGAAGAGCUGCGUAUAACACGACGAGAAUGCGAGUCUCUGAAACAGAGAAUGGAGGAAGAAUCUCUCGGGAAAGAAAGAGAAAGACAAGAAUCACGUCUAGUUAAGAACAGUCCAUUUAUGAAGAACAGUGGGUUCAUGAGUCAAGACCAGAAUCAGACCAAUCAUUUGGUUAAACUGGAAAGAAAUAAUGCCAGUCUGCAGGUUGAGAAUGACAAUCUGAAGUCACAGAACAACAGUCUCAAUGAACAAAUCAAGAAACUGGAAUCCCAGAAUUCACAGCUUCAAUCCCAUAAUGCAUCAGGCCAGAGUGAGAGAGGCUCACUGCAGUCCCAGAAUGCCAAGCUCCAAGUUGAAAAUGCUACAUUCAAAGCGCAGUGUGAUUCUUUAAAAGCUCAGAACUCGUCCUUACAGGGGCAAAUGUCCGUUUUGGAGAGAGACCACAAAAAACUUAACCAGUUGUAUCAGGAUCUACAAAGUGCUCGCGAUUUGCUUAUACAAGAUCACGAAACACUGCAAAAAAUUCACGAACAGUCCACAUCAGAGUACGAGGCUUUAAUAUCAGAGCAUGGUUCACUUAAAUCCAUUCAUAAAACUGUCAAAAAUGAAAAUAGAGACUUACAACAGCAAUUAAACAAUUUAUUGCAUGUUAAAGAUGAUGAUAGUAAAGUAAGGGACUGGUUAAUUCGGGAACGUGAACAGUUGCAGUCAGAGAAGAAAUCUCUAGGAAAUCUUCAGCUAAAUUACAACAAACUUAGGGACGAACAUGAUAGAUUGUUAAAUGAAUAUGAUAAAUUAAAAGGUGCUCAUAGUGCAAUGGACAAAAAUCAUCGGGAUGUUGUUUAUGAAAAUAAACAGUUAAAGACAGAUUAUAACAACCUCCAGCAAGACUGUUCAGAAUAUAAGGAGAAAUUAAAGUCGAUUGAGGUAGACUUGAACUACGUUGCAAAUAAGCAUGAUAGUUUAUAUGAGAUGCAUCAGAAGACAUUAGAAGACAAGGAGCAACUGAUGAAUCAAGUGGAGCUGUUGAUUGGGAAGAACCAGGACCUGCUUGAUUAUGUUCUUAAUAAUAAAGACCAGAUGGCUGGACAGGAAAAAUCAUACAUGGAACAGUUAGCAGAUUUACGUAGACAGAAGGAAAGACUUGAGGAGAAAAUCAUGGAGCAUUACAAGAAUAGAGAUAAACAGAAGAAGAACAAAAGUUUUGGUGCCAUGCUACUGCAAAAAGUUAGAGGAGGACUUAAGAGGAGCAAGUCCAGACCAAACCUGCAUGAAGGUAGCCCAGACAAUUCCUCCUUGGGUUCUGGUUCAUUUGCUGAACCAGAUGGAGAAUUUUCCAAGAAAUCGGACAAAAGACGGUAUCGUCGACGACGUGGCAGUAAUGCUGGUUUCCUUGGUGACAGCGAUAGUCCAAAAUUAUCAAAACAAAAUCGAGGGCUCGCAAAAUCCACUACCGCCCUAAAUACGAGCCCUAGUAUGGAUAGACAUAGUUUAUCUCAAUCCGAGUUACGAGGUGCGCGGUCUACAGAAGAUUUACUUAGUGAUACUCUACGUAGUCAUGGAGACAGUGUCUCCCUUAGCAACUCUACUUUCACGCUUCUCCCAGGUAUGGGUCGGCCAGCCAGUGAUGAUGAAGGUGGUUUUAAGUCAAGCAAUCGUAUCACCUCGCCAUCAGAGUAUCUCACAUUAGAGGAGUUUCUUGCAGAGGGUGUUGAUGGAAAAACUUCACCUAAACCAAAGAGGAAGAUAGAGCUGAAGGCUGAUGACACGGAGUCUCGUAGUAGUGAGAACUCAGAUGGCAGUGCCCGCCGUCGGCGUCCAGCACCAUUACCACCAACUCAUAAUCGCAACCACAUAGGUUCAAUACCUGAUGUUGCUGUGGUGUCUCAACCAGAUCUCAGUUUAUCUAGAAUGUCUCGCGUAUCUACGGGUAGCAGCAGUAGUAGCCAGGAUGUCCGUCCAGAGUCUAGUGCGUUUACACAGGUCUUAUCACCGUCAUAUCAUAUGCAGCCAAACAAUACAUCUACACCAGCCAAACCUAUCAAUUCAUAUAGAACUAAAUCGUAUGAAGAUACGAACAAUACCUCAGCAUUUUCACGCGUGUCUGUUCCAGAUGAUCGGAGAAAUAAUUCAGGUUAUGAACAUAAUAAUUCACAUUCACAGCAACUUAAACCUGAUAUGUCGGAUUCUCCCCAUUAUAAAAGUGGUCGUGAGAUGACCUCUGACCGUGAUAAUAGACUUACUCCAGAUGCUCGUCUGGAAAUGUUGACCCAUGCAGGUGCAGGAGGCAGUGCCUUCUCACCAGCAUCCUCACAAAGUGGCCAGUCUCCUCAUUCCAGUUAUUCUAGUCCAGGUGAUCAAAGGUCAAGAUCACAUGAUGGUGAUAUGUCAGUUAGGUCAGGUCAAGGACCUUCACCUAGCUGGAGAGGUCAGCAAGGUCAACCACCAAGCUCGGGUCAGCGUCCAGUGAAGGCGACACAUCCAGGUUACCCACCACGCAGUCAUUCCCCAGGUAGAAUGUCCCAGCAUCAGUACGAUGAUAGAAAUUCCACACCCCAAUCUUCAACACCUCCAAGGAAAGGAAAUAUUCUCGUCUCUAGGCAAGGUCCAAGACCUUACGGUACUCCAAGAAAUGUUGUUAGAGCGAGACCAGCCAGUGCCUUUGGUGCCCCUGUGAACAGUUCAUUCCAAAGUGAUCAAUCGGUAAAUUCACCGAUGAACAAUUCUAGACCAAAUAGACUAGACCUGAACAACUCCAUAUCAAAUCAAAGUCAUAGUGAUAUUCGUGGUUCAUAUGAUGAUUCAUACAAUAACGGACCUACUAGUGCUCAUACAAAUGGACCAGUUCAUAAAACGAGUGUAAGUCACCGCUCCAAUCCGAGCAGAAUGGAACGACCCAAAUCAGUUCCGCCGACCAUGUUUAAUCAACAGGGGAGCAGUGACUCUGAUUCUAGUUAUAACAUUGAGUACCAGCAAAAUCAUGUAGGUAAUAAAGGUACUCCCCCUGUGCCCCCUCCCCGUAAAACUAAAGAUAUCUUAACAAGCGGACGGUACAGUAUUCUCCGAGAACCAUCUUCACCAACCAAACCAAUGUCUGGCAAUGCUAAUCGAGGUCAUUGGAACGGCAGUCCAGGAGGGACACAAGUUCCACGGGGUCAGACUCCAACAUCGCAGAGAUCAGGCCCACCUUCAACAAAGUCAUCAAACAGUAAGCCACCCCCUCCCAAACCCAUGAAUUCAGAAGACGGGGAACACAAAGAAAACUCAAUCUGGCGAGCAAAGCGAGUUACUUUUGAUAUAGAGGGCCUUCCAGAAUCUCCUAUACUCUAAGCUUAGAGCUGCUGAGCUUUUAGUCUGCUUUAACCAUGUGAGGUACAAAACUGCAAGUUUUUGUAGAACGACCAAUAACCAGGGCAUUGUUUCUAUACAUACAUUUGAUUUUUUUUUUUUCAAUGUUUUGAAAAAAAGGGGGUUUGGCUCAUCACGGGACACAUUAUAAAGUAUACUUUGAAUUUUUUAGUAAGCACAAAAUUUUAAUGUAGAUUUAAUAAUGUUGAAAGACAAAAUAUUUGAUGGUGUUUAUUUUGACUUACUUUCAAUAUAAUGCCCUGUGAUAUUGGUUGUAGAUAGAUAAACAAUAUUCACUGCCCAUAUAAACAUGGUUGACCUAUGUUUGUGUGUCCAGACCCUACUGUGUGUCUGUAUCUGGUCUCGGAUUGUAGCCAUAGUCUGCUUGAGCUUGAAUGUCUUUAUGGGUGGGACAUAAAAUUAGUUUUCCAAGUUAGAGAGAAUGAUAAAGUUUCCAUUAGUGAGAGUAGGCUUACAUUUCAGUUUGUCAUCACAUUCCAUUAAUUAUGUUUCCAUAUUUUACAUUCAUGUGGCAGUUCUUUGUUCAUUUGGGUAAUUUCUGUUCAUUUAAGAAGGUUUUGCACCAUUCAUUAUCAGUAUCAUCAUCAUCACUUAUCCAUAUUGAAAUCUGACUGUUAAUUAGGUUUUUCAAUUUUAAGCAUUAUCUUCUUGCAUUUAAAAUACAUAAUAAAACUUUAUGCACUCUGCAGUUGGAGAACAGAGAUGAAUCUGUAAGUGGGUGGGGUAAUGGCUCAGGGACACCUUGUGUGAUCUUUACUUACAUGUGUACAAUGUAUCAGGGCCACACCUGCUCUAAAAUGUCUAUCCUCCAGUUGAAAUUCAAAUUUACAUAUUUUGAUUAAGUUACUUUUAGGAAUACAUGUAGAGAUACAAGUCAUAAGUCUAAAAGAAUUCCUGUCUGAAUCACAAACUUCAGAAUUCACAACCUGGAGAGUAGAUGUAUGGUUUAGGUAUAUAUUUGUUCUGGGGAGUUUUAGUUGGUAUCAGUAUGUAUGUGUGACAAAAAUACUUUGUUUAUAAUGCAUCAUCAAACUUUAUUUUCAGCUAUAUGUCAUAAACAAGGUUCAAACUUGAGUAGAUUUUAUAUGUAAAUGGGCUUUGGCAUAUAUUUGAUUUUGUUGUUUAAUAUAACAACAUGUCUUACUUUAAAAGAGACCAAGUGUUUAGCCUUUAGCCUGCUGGUGGCAAGUGGUCUUGCCAUUGCUACCAGUUCAGACCAAGAUCAACCUGUACUUCCGUGCAGGCUGAUCAUGGGCUGUACUGUUUGCUGUUCAGCCAGUAAAUUUUCAGUGAACACCCCUUUGGAAAAGAAGUAGUACUACCCAAAUUGAAUGAUGAACCAGUCCAUUUUGAAAUUUAGCAGGGUAAAGGUUAGUGUUGCUGACUUUGAAUCCCUUGUCCCUUACCACUGUAGAUUCUGACAUCCUGAAGGGAUGUCGAAUUCCUUAUUAUUAGGGAGUCAGCAGCUGGCAUACAGGAUGUUAUAGGUUCUACCCAGGUGCAUGCCAAUGUACAAAUUUUGCACCAGAAGUCUACCCUCCUCCUUUAAAGCUAGAAUUCUGUGUUGGUAUGACUUGAACCUAGUAAAAACAAAAAUGUCCUACUUAAACACUGAUCAAUGUUCAUUGACAAACAUGUAUGGCCUCAGUAUCGAAAAAUCGGUUUAAUUACUGAGAACCUUGUUUAUGACAGUCGAAGUUCUUUCAAACAUCUGUAUGAUAACCUAACUGAGUGUUUUAUUUUUUCACCAUUUCAAGCAUAUACACCUCUAGUAUUGAAGUAUAACCUCCACCCCCCAGGUGAAGGCAAGGAUCUCAGGAACGCGACACGACUCUAAAGGUGGCCAGUUCUGCUUGACUAGUGCAUGGAAGGCUUGGGAUUUGUUAUUGUCUCCCCUUACAGGAUCCCUGCGUAGUGCAUGGAGCGAAAAAUGUUGUCUCGUCUACAAGAAGUAACAUUCUGAAAACGCCUAACAAUUUCUUAGCUGUAGCUUUGGUUUUGGUGUUGUACACGUACGAAAACCUUUCAAUAUUUUUAAGACGUGCAUGCAUGUAUUGCUUGUCAGUGAAAGAGUUACGGUGUAGAGAUCUGUAAGAUAUAUAGUAUAUAUAUAUAUAUAUUUAUAUGGUAUAGGGACAUUGCAUUAAAAGGGUUGAUUGAAAGGGCCAGGCUUGACAGGAACCAGCAGUUACUUCAUAUAUAAAUAGAUCAGUAGACGCUAGAAAAUGUGUUCAAAAUUGAGUUUUAUGAACUGUACUGGGUUUUACACUGUUCCAUCCGUCCUCUGCUUCUGUUAAUAUUGUUUAGAUCUUUGUAGAACAUUUUCAUAUUUCUGUUGUAAUUGGAUAAGCUGUGUGCUGAUUUUCUGUUCGUAAUUGAUUGUCCUGAGAACUUGUUUUUAAAGUAUGAAAUUGUUUCAUCAAUUUUUUUUUCAUGGACAUAUUUAUCAGAUUCCAACACACUAUUUAGUCCCCUUAUAUACUUUUAUCACCUGCACAAAUAAUAACUUAAUAUAGUUAAACCUGUAUUAAGUAGCCAGCUAGUGGUGUGACAUACUCUGUCUGCUUAAGACACAUUGAAGUUAAAACAAGAAGACAGAGCCACACCAUGAGAAAACCAACAUAGUGCAUUUGCGACCAGCAUGGAUCCAGACCAGCCUUCGCAUCAGGAUCCAUGCUGUUUGCUUUCAAAGUCUAUUGUAAUUAGAGAAGCUGUUAGUGAACAGCAUGGAUCCUGACCAGACAGCACAGAUGCACAGGCUGGUCUGGAUCCAUGCUGGUCGCAAAUGCACUAUGUUGGUUUUCUCAUGGUGCGGCUUGAGUUAAUUUAGGAGGUUAGCUGACUGGCUGUUUGAAGCAAGUAGCUGCUUAAUACAGGUUGCUUUGAAGCUGGGUUCAACUCUUUAAGAGUUGUUAAAAAAAUAACCUAAAACAAAUAAAUGAAAAUGCGAAAUUAAUUAUGUGUGAGUUAUAUUUAUAAGGUAUUGAUCAGAAUUCAGCAUGCGUAUGAAGCCUGUGAACUGUAAUGAGUUGUAUUGUUAUUUAAUCAAAUUAAUUAUAAAAGCUUACUAACAUAUUGCUUAAAAUAUUACCAUGUAACUUAACACAUGCAACAUAUUCACAUUAAAAGAACUGCAUAUUAAGUUUAUCAAACCAAAGAGCUAUAAAAAUAAAUAGGUCGGCAAUGAAAGGCAUAUAGAGCAAAUCUCGCCAACAUCCCGUGACAACUGAACGAGAUCUCGUUUACCAGAAGUGACGCGUUCUCCACGCGCCAUUUUGUAUGCGAAAGCAAUUAUUCAUCGGUAAAUUAAUUAUCACUGUAUGACCAUGUUUCAUUUGAUGGUAAAAAACGUGUACUUUGUGUCUUAAGACUAUUUCACAUUAAACUUAUGUUGUUUAGAAGCUAACACGUAUUUUAAAUGUAGUUUUAAAGGUACAAAUUGUAACUCCAUGCUCGCCGACGUUUGUUUUUACUAAGAUAACGCCGAUUCACGCUCGGAUGCGAGAUUACAGCCAGUUGCCAUUCUGUGUAUUUUAUACUUCUUUGAUCAAACUAUAUGCAUAUUCUGUGGAAGAUAAUUAAAAAAAAAUAAUAUCUUAUUUAUCUCACUGACUGAAACUCUGUCUCUUGGCCAAUUCUUAAGCAUUUUGACCAGUAUUUGAAAGUCUUGAAGUUCCGCAAGUUUUGGAAAAUUACCUGUGCUCUUUGUUAUGUAUAUUUAUCUGUUGUGAAUAUACACAGUUUGUCAGUAACUUUUGUGCAUUUUGCAUUUUUUGUUUUCUUUCUUUUGUUUUAUUUUGGUGCUUAGAUAUUGUCUGUAAAUUUGUUUGUUACGUUUAUUUUAUUGUUUUGGACAUUUUGAAGACUGUUCUUUUUUCUGUAUGUUACUUACAAUUACCUCAGAUCUUUUUACCAAUAUUCAAUUUUUGUGGGACAGUAUCAUGAAUUUGUAAAGCUUUCUAGUUACAGUUAAAAGUGAAAAAUUUCAGUUUCUCUAUUUACACAGACUUUGGUAUCGGUGGUUAUCUUGACUUUUAGAUGUAACAAAGGGAGUGAACAACAGUAUUUGAUGUUUGACAAUACCCAUGUAGAAUGUCAUUUCAGAUGUGUCCCAGGUGUACUUUUCCUAUUGAAUAACUGUUUUUGGGAAAUUGCUGCAGAAUUUUAUUUGUCAGAAAUACCAAAGACCACAUUUUUCAGAAGUUUUGACAAACUUUGAGACAAAUUUUUUCCCACCAGAAAGUGUGCAAGUCCCAACAAAUGUGACAAGAAAUGCAGUGUAACGAAAACAGGGAUAUUUCAAGCUAUUUAUUGUAUAUUUACAACAUUCCUUAAAAAAUAUCAUUCUUUCGUGACAUACCUUUUAUAGAAAUCUGUUGUGAAGUAGCUAUUUCGUGUGAAAACAAUUCUGUCUGAUAUUUUGUUGCAUGUAAUGUUGUGUCUUGAUGAAAAGCUUGCAUUUAUUAUGAGGAACAAGGUUUAAUAUAAUGGCUUUUGGACAUAUUUGUUAUAUUUAUAUACCUUAAUAUAUAUCAGCAGCUACCGUAUUUAUUAUUUUUAUCAUAUUUUGUCAGUGUAGCUUGUAUGCAAUUCCUUAAUAUGUAUUAAAUUUAAAUGAACGAAAUAAAAUGUAGUGGGGUUUCAUCUUGGUUUGUAACUUUUGAAACAGAUAUUUUCAAUUUGUAUAUAACAUUAUUGUUUUCCUUUGUUCAUUAGCUCAUGGGUAUAUUUAUUCAUUUGAAUUGCGAUUUACAAAUAUGUUAAUUAAAUAACAUAUUAUUUAUGAAGGCUAAUUUCUGCCAUCUCGUUCUGGCCUGUUGGCACGUUUGAAUGGCGUGAAUACGUCUGAACAACAGAUAGUGUGCUAGUAUGACAAAUUGAAUGCUGAAUAGAAAAAUGUCAUAAAUCCUUAUUUAAUACGGAUUAUGAGUUUUCCAUUCAACCCUCGAAAGGAGAUAUUUGUUGUUCUGGCACACGCGUCAGCAAGCCGAAUCAAGUAAAUGUCGCCAGAAUGAGGUGGCAGUUACCAGCCAACAUGCAUUAUUACUUUAUUGUAUACAUUGUAUUAUGUGAUUUUCAUAUUGAGAUCAAUGUGCCUUUGAACAAUUUUCUACAUAAUUUAUACAUUAGUUUUGAUAAACUAGCUUUUACAUAGUGUAAAAAUGGCCUUACUGUUAGGGUAGUCUGAGAACUUGCAGCUUGUGUCAUUGCAAUUAAAUACAUGGUAAUAAAUAUCUUCAUUUGUACAUAACCAGGAUAUAAGAAAUUGCAGGCAUUUAUAUAAUGAAUUUAUAGUGCUAAAAAGUUAAAACUGGUUAAGUACAGUUGCUCAGGUAGUUGUUUGUACCUUGAUGAGUAUAUUUAAACAUCGUAAUAGUUUUGUGGAUUUUUUCUUCAAAUCUUAGGAGAAUCUGUCACAAAAAUGUGUACAAAAAUGGGUUGUACUCUGAUACACAUACAGAGUUACAGCUUUUUUUGCACUCCAUUCUAUGGCAUUAGAAAUGGCCAUCUUCAAAAAUGCUGUGAUGAUCUUUAAUCAGUAACAUUAAAUCUCCUGUGUUACAGGGUGCCUUAUUACAGUUUAGCUCAAAUAGAAUUCAUAAAUGCAUUUGAAGAUAUAAAUUUUCAUAAAUUAUUAUUGUAGUAAUAAUAAAAAAAACAUUUGGCCAAUUUAACACACUCGUAAUGGUGUGUCUUAAUAUAUUAUUAAUAUGUAUUUGAUACCCUUGCAGUUAACCUUCGAUCAUUGAUACUGUUAAGCCUUAGAAAUGACUUUUGAGCAUUUAAGUUGAUAUUUUGGAUCUCGGCCAUAAUUCUCACUAAUUUCCGUCCAAUGAAAUGUUGUCUCUCUUGUUUUGCAAAACAUUCCACACAGUUCAACCAAAAGUUGUAUUUUACAAUACCACUAAAUUUCUUGGUGAACAGCAUUAUGCUUGUCUUAUCUCAUUUAAGAAUCGUACCGUUUUUCUGUGGAAGGUUGUAUAUUCAAACUUUUUUUCUGAGAAAUACAAAUUUCCAGUUUUUGGAAAAGUUUAUAAUGAUUAUAUAAGAUACUUCUUUUGGUUGGUCACUGUACAUGAAAUAUCAUGAUUCAUUUUGAGUGUGUACCUGUCCUGCAAUUCUUAGCUGUGAUGAAGAAGAGUUUGACAUGUAUAUAGUUCAAAAACAAACAUUGUACAUGAUCAUGAGCUGAUUUCUGUGAUUUAUAUAAUAAUGUUGUACUUUAGUUAUGAUUUUUGAAUGUACAGCCAGUACAUAUUAUUAAAACAGAUAAUAUAAUUA